CGAGCAAUAGCUCAGUGGUAGAGCAUUCGACUGCAGAUCGAGAGGUCCCCGGUUCAAUCCCGGGUUGCUCCU